rnacentral:lncRNA from 1 species
AAAGGGAUAUUUCAAAAAGAGACUUGCCUACCAUGCCAAAGGAAGAUCAGGACUCAUAAUGAGACCAGAAUGCAGGCUAACAAUUGUAGUGAGAGAGAUAACUGCGGAAGAAGAGGCUGAUAUAGCUAGGCUGAGAGUUCACAACUUCAAGAAACUAACUAAGCGGGAGAGACGACUUGUGCCUCAUCAACUUAUUGAGACCACUCCUGUUUGGGGCCGCAAAAGCAAAUCUAGUGGUCAAAACUUGAGUGCUGCACCUGCAUGAGCCUCACUUUGUUUCCAAGUUUUCAUGCUUCAUGGCAUUUUGUGUAAUAGAUUAUUCUUCUUGGUCAUCACAUAAUAUGGAACAGUUGAAAUUUUUUUUGCCCUUGUUGCAAAUGAUAGAAGUUUGUGUUGGAUCAUUUUCAGUGUUAUUCUCAUUUAAUAGCUUAUUUUUCUUCCAUCUAGGUACAAAAAAGGAUAUGCCCUGUUCAAUCAGCAGCAUGAGUUUGUUGUCUAUUUUUUCUUCAUCUGGUGAAUCAUCUAAUGACAGUAUCUAGUUGGUGCAUAUGAUGGAGGUCAUCUGAUGGAUGUCGUGUAUUUUCUAUAAAAUCAACAUGUACUGGUGGCUAUUAUUAAAUGAUACUGAUGGUCAUACACGAUUUCUUUUCUCCUUCACCAAGUAAUUACAUAACGAUGUUUUACAGUCGCAGUUUCGCCAUAACUACGUAGCAAACAUAUUUCUUGAUUCCAAUUCAGGUAUUUGUUUGUUUCUUCUUUUCUUCCUUUAUAUUACUUUUACGAACCAAAACACACAACAACCGUAUUUUUCUUUUCUGCAAACAAUUUUGUGUUGUUUAUGACUCCUUUUGUAGUUCUAUUAUUGCACAAAUCAUAAUAUUCAAGGGGAUCCAAGAGAAACUACUUUUAGAGACGUAAAUUUUUUCUACAAAAUUGUCAUACCAUUUUAUGCGUCAAGGAGCAAAAGGAAUUAAGAGAAACUUGAUUUAAUUUCAAAUUAUGUUUCAUGAUUCAAGUCACUUUCAUACACAAUAUUAAAGUAAAGUAUUUGAAGGAAAAUGUUAAGACAACAAAAAAAUACUUUAAUAUGUUGGGAAAACUAUACUCAGAUUUUAAAUUUAACUUGUUGUAUGAUUUGAUAUACUUGCCAAAUUCGCAACAUUGAUCCAAGAGUUAACUAAUAUUUAAGCUAUAAUGUAUAAAUGUAAUAUAACCACAUUUGUUCUUUAUUUUUUCUUUGUUGUAAAAACAUAAACAUCUCUUAUGUCUUUAUAUUUUAUUUUGAUUCCUUUAUUAAUAAAAAAAUAAAAUUGUUAUGUGUAAACAAAUUCUACUAAUAAAAAAAUAUUUAAUAAAAUUGUAAAACUAAUCCAAAUCAAACCAAACUGAUUUGUUGUGGUUUAAUUUGAUUUGGUUUAAAUUUUUUUAUGUUCAAAUUAAACUGUAUGUAAUUUUAUAUUUGAUUCAAAUGUAUUUUUAAUAAAAAAUUAAUGUCCCGAAAGAAAAUAAAAAAUAUUAUUGUCUUCCUUUCUAAAAGAAAAGAAGUGGUAACAAAAUUGUGAGGAAUUUUUGAGCAAAUAUCUCCUAGUCAAGGUGUAGAAAAUAAUAAAUGAAAUAAUGGUGGCUUUUGCGGUUGCGUUGGUGGCUGUCUAAUGAGAAGUUAAGUAUGUUUUGUGAAUUCAUGAAGCCUAGGUAAACUAUACAAGCUCUAAUAUUCUUGUUGAUACAAAAAUAAUUAAUAAAAAAAAGAAGAUAAGGGACUGAACUCCAAAUAACAGUAAAUAAUGGAUGAACAUAAAAUUUAUUAAGUCUCAAAUCAAACACACUUUUUUGAAAAGGAGGGGUGGCAGAGAUGACAUUGUUACGAAGUUGAAUCUUCAGAGUAUUUAACUUCAGCAACUCACAUACAUACAGAACAUAUCUAACUUCAUCACACACAACAGAUGGCCAUGUAGGUCCAUCUUAUUCAUAAUUGAAUCACUUAAGAAGAAAAAACAGAGACAUAAACUUUUGUUCAUAAUACUUGUACACAAUACAGUUACCAUCAUUUUUCCCUCCACCUCUUAUUGCAAUGAACAAAUCCCAGUUAACCUAAAAGAAAUAAAGGCACAGUUAUAUAUAUCUUCAAGUUUAACUAAUUUGUUUCAAAUAAAGUAAGCCAAUACAAGGACAUGCAAUGACAAAAUGACAAUUAUAUUCAACCCUUCUGAUGUGACAUGAUGAUGGGGUUGUUUUAUGCAGUCCCUUAGUGUAAAUAAUUAUGAAAGGAUAUCUUGUAAGCAUUAUCAAAGGUUCUGAAUAUUGUCAGUUUUAUUAUGCAGCUAAUGGUUUUUAUUCUGUUUUAUUUAAUCACUGAUUUUAACUUCAAUUUGGAGUGUUUUAUAUAUGUUCCUGCUAGGAAGAUGGGACCUAGAGAACUAUUGAAGUCUUCUUCUCCUUCCUUCGGUCGGGCAGAUGACUGGGUGACAAACUGGGAUUCUUCUCGUCCUCCUGCUUAUCCUUCGGCACUCGGGACUCGGUCGUCGGGUGAACACCGGAUGGUGGGGGUACCUGCGAAGGCACUCCGACGCUCAAGUCAGUAAAGCAGGUGGUUAGCUCUCAGGUAGGUGAACAGUAAUAAUGACAUCCCUUACUCCUUGAAAUGCGUGCUAUUUAUAUUAUUCUAGUGGGCCUACCUUGUUGGGCCCGUUUAUCGAGGUGGAUACCGCUUAGGGUUGCAUUACCUAAUUCCUGGUGAUGGAUUAGCUUCACUGAUCUUGGUUUGAGCGUUAAUUGUAAUGGGGUUCGGCCAUCGGCCAAGCACUCGUGGCCUUCGGCCGUCUUGGCUGAGUCUUCGACGGUCUCGGUCUCUCGGCCAAGUCUACAAAAGGUCUCGGACCCUUGGUCUUUCGGCCAAGUCCUCAACGGGGUCUCAGCCUUCGGUCACUCGGGCAGGUUGACUGGGCAUCGGGNNNNNNNNNNNNNNNNNNNNNNNNNNNNNNNNNNNNNNNNNNNNNNNNNNNNNNNNNNNNNNNNNNNNNNNNNNNNNNNNNNNNNNNNNNNNNNNNNNNNGGUACACUUGCUCCCCAGGCUCAAGGGCAGAUGUGCCAGAUAUGUCCGAUGAGUCUUUGAUGAUGGGAGUCGGUCGGUCUCCCUUGGUCGCGCGGGCGUUUCAUUUCUCGAGGUACGACAUGACUAGGCGGCGUGACGUGACUUCAGGCGGCGCGACAUGACGUGCAUUGAUGAGGGGUUUUUUGGGCGGGGGAGUUCGUGGGCCGUUAGAUCUACAAGAUCUAACGGUGGAGAUUGGUUUGACGUUUCGCAUUCCGAGGCCCAUGGGCCCUAUAAAUAGGGGUCUACCAGCGUCGAGGUCCCUCAUUUGCAUUCGUGAGUUUUUUCUUGGCAGCCGAGUGAUCAUUCGCCCAUUGCUGAGAUCCGAGCGACUUCUCGCCCAUUCUUACUAGGUUCGGUCUCGUCCAUUUAUUUACAAGGUUAGUGAUGUCGACCGUGUCUCGGCCAACGUCUUCUUCGUCCGACCAUUCUUCCCCUUCUCUCGGUCGCCCUCCCCGUUUUGAAAAGUCGUCGUCAUCUUCCUCUUCCUCUUUUUCUUCUUCUUCCCCCUCCUCUGCCGAGCCUACCUCGGUUGGGGUGGCCGAGGUGUCGCCCCGGGUAGAGGUUGUAAGGGGGGAUGUCUCGGCCAACGCUAUUGAUUGAUCAGAUUCUCUUCUGAUGGAUAUCCCGGCUGAUGUUGUUGGUCGGUCGGGCUCUCCCCUGGCAGCUAUUCCUUUGGAGGAUCUUAGCUGGGUGGAUCCUCGAGUGGUCGAGAUCUCGUCCCUCUAUGGGACCGAGUUGUCUGUGGCCAAGUUCUUGGCCCGUCAUCCGGUCUUAAAGGCGGAAGAGUACUCGAGUUACUUCGACGUCUUGCCUUGUGGGGUGGCCGAAAGCGUGUGUUUGGGGCGGCCAGGUGUUGGUCCCCCAUUUUUUUAUAUGUAUGCCUGUUUUUUCAAAGACCUUUAUGUUUCUCUCCCUUUCGAUGAGUUUACGAUGGGCGUCCUUCGGACGCUUAACGUGGCUCCUACCCAGGUUCACCCGAAUACCUGGGCGUCCCUUCAGGCCUUCCGCCUGUUGUGUGAUGUUAUGCGCCUUCAUCCCUCCCCCUCUUGUUUCCUUUCUUAUUAUAAGUCUCACCCCGCCUAAAAGGCUGCUUGGCAUUCUUUGGCCGGGCGGCCGGGUUUGGUGUUGUUUGACUCCUUCGCCCUCUCGUAUAAACGUUUCAAAGAGAGGUUUGUGAAGGUCGUCAUUCGUCCCGAGGCGACCCCCUUCUUUUUUGACUCAGCCGGUCGGUCGAGGUUCCCCCUAUACUGGACUUAGAAUCCCUGUGAUUUCAAGGAGUGGCCGAGGCCGACCGAGGGUGAGGACGAGUUGGGGGUUCUUGCCCUUUUUGACGCCUUACCGAGGAAGCUUCCAUGCUGGGGGCUGAUCGGCGCGUAUACCAAGUCUGCGCGAUGGGCGGCCGUGAGGGGUAUGUGUUUAGGCUUGUCUAGGGCGGUCGGUCUCUUUUAACUUGCGUGUGAUCUAACUUGUUUAUUAAUUUUGUUUUGCAGAAAUCAUGGUUAACGAACGACCGGCGGCCGUUAGUGUACUUGACAAGCACCGCCAAAAAGCGGCCGAACGCAAGGGCCGUCGGAGUUUAGAGGUGAUCCCUCCGCCAAGCGAUACAGGGGCGGCUGGUUCCUCUCAUAAGUCCAAGGGGCCGGUCGGCCCCUCCCACAGGUCCAAGAAACGUCCGAGGGACGUUAGCAACAUUGCCACCACCACUCGAUCACCCGGGUCAAUGCCGACGCCCCCUCCUUCUCGGCGAGUGACAGCCGAGGCAGUGACAAGCUCGCCCGGUCCUUUGGUGCGCGGGGCAGCCGGGCCAUCGGAAGUCGACGCUCGGGCAGCGCCCACCCCUUUCGACCUCUUGGGGGGUGGGUAUCGAUUUUCUCGAAGAGUUCGCGUCGCUAUUCCAGAUGAGGCCCGAGACUCCCUUCAAGACGUCUCCCCCUCGGACCUCCUAAAGAGUGGUUUUGAAUUGAUGUGCCGCUCGGUCGUCCUCUUUCAGAGUGGGCUUGUUGGCCGAGGAGGUGUCGGCCUUGGAGCACAAGCUGUCCGAGGCCAACCAUGACUUGGAGCAAUCUUUGGCUGCCAACACCACCCUAUCGGCCCUGAUUGCUACGGAGGCGGCCGAGAAGGAGUUGGCGUACAAGGAGGCGGCCGAGGCGAAGCGGCAGCUGGAGGCCGAGAGGUUGAGGGCGGCUGCUGAAAUUGCCAAAUUGAAGGAGCUGGUCGAGGAGAGAGAUAAGCAGCUCUCUGCCUCGACCACUGAGAUGGCCGCCCUUCAACAUGCCAAGGAGCAAGCCGAGGCCGAGCUUGAUGAAAACUAUGAAGAGGCCGAGGAAUUGCUGAAACAGUGCUUUGAAAGGGCCGUGCGUCAAGCGCACGUGCUUUAUGGCGGACCGCCGACCACUGGUGAGUUUGACCUUGACUGUGAGGUCUACCAGGGUCGAUUGAUGCCAAGUGCUGAAGUGGCCGCCUUAACUGCUCAAGAAACUGAACCGGCUGCGACCGAGGAGGGGGAGGCUGAGGUUCGGGGUAAGGAGGUCGAGGCUGAGGAGGAUGGAUGCAUUAAUAUUCAGGAUUAGGUUUGCCUUUGGUCGGGUUGUGGCCUUUUCUUUUAGCAUCUUCCGAGGCUGGGGCGUGGCCUUCUUAUUUUGUUUUUGAUGUAUCGCCCGGUGCUUUUUUCAUUUUUAUCAACACAUCGUCCAUCUUUUCUUUUAUCAGAGUUUGGCAUGAAAUUUGAGAAGUUUUGAACAGUCGGCCAGCCAUUCGUUCGGGCGCCAGCCAUAAAUUUUUGUUAAAUUCUAGCAAGUAAAAUGAGGGCGACCGGCCAUAAAAUUGGGAAUGUUAAUUUCGAGCAAUCAAAAUAUGGGCGAUCGGCCAUAAAAUUGGGAAUGUUAAAUUUGAGCAAUUAAGAUAAGGGCGAUCGGCCAUAAAAUUGCGAAUGUUAAAAUUCGAGCAAUUAAGAUAAGGGCGAUCGACCAUAAAAUUGCGAAUGUUAAAAUUCGAGCAAUUAAGAUAAGGGCGAUCGGCCAUAAAAUUGCGAAUGUUAAAAUUCGAGCAAGUAAAAUAAGGGCGAUCGGCCAUAAAAUUGCGAAUGUUAAAUUCGAACAAUUAAGAUAAGGGCGAUCGGCCAUAAAAUUGCGAAUGUUAGAUUCGAGCAAUUAAGAUAUGGGCGAUCGGCCAUAAAUUGCGAAUGUUAGAUUCGAGCAAUUAAGAUAUGGGCGAUCGGCCAUAAAUUGCGAAUGUUAAAAUUCGAGCAAGUAAAAUAAGGGCGACCGGCCACUAUUAACGAAUGUUGGGUUCGUGCGCGUGAAGGGUGGGCGAUCGGCCAUUAUUAGCGAAUGUUGGAUUCGAGCGCGUGAAAUGUGGGUGAUCGGCCACUAUUAGCGAAUGUUGGAUUCGAGCACGUGAAAUGUGGGUGAUCGGCAUACCGACACUUGCGAUGUUAUUCGAGCAAGUGGGCGUUCGGUGGGCCGGCACUUGCGAUGUUAAUCGAGCAAGUGGGCGUUCGGUGGGCCGGCACUUGCGAUGUUAAUCGAGCAAGUGGGCGUUCGGUGGGGCGGCACUUGCGAUGUUAAUCGAGCAAGUGGGCGUUCGGUAUGUCGGCACUUGCGAUGUGAAUCGAGCAAGUGGACGUUCGGUAGAAUAUUUCCAACACUUUGAUGAAAACGCCUCGUUAAAACCUCCUUGGUUGGGUGGGGAAAAAGUGCGUAUUUUUAUAGAUUUUAGCUGUAAUAGAACUUGAGGUGCGUGGCAUUCCACGUCCUCGGUACAAUUUUUCCUGAAAGCCAUUCUAGAUGAUAGGCUCCUCCUUGUGCGACUUCUCGGAUUCGGAAAGGCCCCUCCCAGUUGGAUGAGAAUUUCCCUUCAUUUUUUCUGGCGUCGCUGCGCAUUCUCCAGACGAGAUCACCCUUUUGGAAACAUCUCGGCCGGACUUUGGUGUUGUACCGUCUGGACGCCCUGGCUUUGCAGGCAGCCUCUCGAAUCUUGCUUUUGUCACGCAUCUCACUUACCAGGUCGAGGUUGACCGCUAGGCUUUCCUCGUUUAGGGUGAGAUCGAACAUCUGCCGUCGUAUGGUGGGCUUGGCCACCUCAACUGGGAUCAUUGCCUCGGUCCCGUACGUCAGGCUGUAGGGUGUCUCUUGUGUGGUAGUUUGGGGGGUGCACCUGUACGCCCAAAGUACCUCGAUCAGCUCCUCGGUCCAUCGACCCUUUGCUUUGCCCAGACGCUUCUUCAGUUCGUUGAGUAUGACCUUGUUGGCGGCCUCGGCCUGCCCAUUGGUUUGUGGGUGUUCCACCGAGGCCAUGAUGGACUUGAUGCCCAGGUCGUCAUAGAAGGACUGCAGGCCUCGGUCGAUGAACUGUCGGCCAUUGUCAGUUACUAUUGUGUGCGGGACGCCGAAUCGGCAGACUAUGCUCCUCCAUACGAAGUUUUGUACAUUCUUCGCCGAGAUGGAGGCGAGGGGCUCGGCCUCGAUCCAUUUGGUGAAGUAGUCGACUCCCACCAGGAGGAAUUUGGUCUGCCCCUUCCCUGGGGAGAAUGGACCGAUAAUGUCCAGCCCCCACAUGGCGAACGGCCACGGGGAGAUGAUGCUGUGCAGUUCUUCCGGCCUGGUGUGGAGGAGGGGGCCGAAUUCUUGGCACUUGGCACAUUUCUUGACGUAUUCAGCACAGUCGCCCUGUACGGUCGGCCAGUAGUAGCCGGCUCUCAAGAUCUUGGCGGCCAUAGUCCUUGCCCCGGCGUGAUUUCCGCAGACUCCUUCAUGGAUCUCGGCCAGGAUGUACUCGGCCCUUUUGUUGGUUAUGCAUUUUAGCAGGGGGGUUGAGUAGCCUUUCCGAUACAGGUCUUUGUUGAUCAUGGUGUACCGGGCGCAUUGUUGCUUCAUCGCCUUCUCUUGGUCGGCCGUGCACGUGCCGUCCGUCAGGUAUUGGAUGACGGGUGUCAUCCAGUUGUCGGCCUCAGCCUCUUCUUCUUCUACAACUAGACACUCGGCCUCGGCCUCUGUCACACUCGGGUGUCUCAGCCAUAUUUGUAUGACCGACCUCUAAUGGCUCUUCUUUUUGGCGACCGAGAGCUUGGACAGGAUGUCGGCCCUCUUGUUGUCCUCUCGCGGUAUGUGUUGCAAGGGUGCUUUGCUGAAGCGGGCGAUACUGUUUUUGGCCGCGUGGUAGUAUCGCUGCAGCAAAGGUUCUUUAACCUCGAAGUCUCCAUUGACUUGGCCGACCAUCACCUGGGAGUCGCUUUUGCAUGUAACCUCGCGCGCUCCCAUGUCGUAGGCUAGGUUUAGCCCGGCCAGCAAGGCCUCGUACUCGGCCUGGUUGUUGGUCGCCCGAAAUCCGAACUGGAGGGCUUGUUCCAGGAGGAGGUCGCCCGGCCCCUCUAGGACAACUCCCGCUCCACACGCUGUUUUAUUUGAGGAGCCGUCUACGUAGAGAGUCCAACCGGCCGAGAGGGUGGGCAAUGGUGUCAGCUCGGCCGAAAAGUCGACCAAGCAUUGAGACUUGAUGGCGCCCCUCGGCUCAUAACGUAUGUCGAACUCGGAGAGUUCGACCGACCAUCCUAUCAUCCUCCCUGCAAGGUCCGGUUUAGAUAAAAUUUUAAAAAUAGGGUAGUCGGUUCUUACAGUUAUGGAGUGAUUUUGGAAGUAGGGGCGCAUCCGUCUUGCCGUGAGGACGAGUGCGAGGGCCACCUUCUCGAUCAUCUGAUAUCGGGUCUCGGCCGAGUGGAGGGUUCGGCUCACAAAGUAUAUGGGUCGCUCCUCGCCCUCGGCUUCCUGCACUAGGGCCGCGCUGACCGCUUCUUCCGAGACUGCUAGAUAUACCAGGAUUGGGAUGUUGGGUCUCGGCUUCUGGAUGACGGCCUGGGAUGUGAGGAAUUCCUUAAAUUUUUUGAAGAUUUCCUCGCAUUGGUCGUCCCAGAUGAAUUUUUUGCCUUUUCGGAGCAACUGAACGAUCGGCCUCGUCUUCUCGGCCAGGCGGGGGACAAACCGAGAGAGGGCGGUCAGCCGCCCAAGGAGUUGUUGUACCUCCUUCACGGUGUUCGGGCUUCUCAUGCUGAGUAUGGCUUGACAUUUGUCGGGGUUGGCCUCUAUCCCCCGGUGGGUGAGCAUGAAACCUAGGAACUUUCCUCCCUCUACCCCGAAAGUACAUUUUUCGGGGUUGAGUUUCAUGUUGACUCCCCUUAGAGCCUUGAAGACCUCGUCCAGAUCCUUCAGAUGUUGCUCGAACGAGUCGGACUUCACGACUAUGUUGUCCACAUAGACUUCUACCGCCCGGCUUAUCAGACCCUUGAAAAUUUUGUCCAUGAGACGCUGGUAGGUCGCCCCGGCGUUCUUGAGGCCGAAUGGCAUGACCUCGUAGUAGUAGUUGGCAUCGGCCGUCAUGAAGGCCGUCUUCUCCUUGUCCCGCGGGUGCAUGCUUAUCUGGUUAUAGCUAGAGUAAGCGUCCAGGAAGCUCAUAAUUUUGUGGCCGGCUGCCCCAUCCACCAGUCGGUCAAUGUUCGGGAGGGGGUAGGUGUCCUUCGGGCAUGCGCUGUUGAUGUUUCUGUAGUCGACGUUAGGCUUGGUAACCAUGACGACGUUGGCCAGCCAUGUCGUGUAUCGGGCCUCCCUUAUGAAUCCGGCCGACAGGAGCUUGCCGGCCUCCUCCUUCGCUGCGAGUCGUUUUUCGUCUCCCAAGUCCCUCUUCUUUUGGGAGAUCGGACGAGCUUCCUUAAAUAUGGACAGCCGAUGGGUGAUGACAUCCGGACUUACUCCCGGCAUGUCGGCCGGCGUCCAUGCGAACAUGUCGACAUUCUUUUUUAGCGCGGCAUGCAUGACCUCGGCCUCGGCCGCCGCCAAGACUGUCCCCACAGCCGUGCUGUGCUCUUCGUCGAGGAGGGGGACUCUCCUCAGCUCCUCUCUUGCCUCUAGCCUUUCCUCGGUUGCCCGGGGAUCAAGGUCUACUAGUGCCACGGUUGGCUGGGCCUCCCUAGGCUGGUCCUUCCUGGGGGAGCGGUCCUUUCGGGAGGACUUUCUCGCCCGAAGGGGAGAGGUGUCUGUCCUUAGAGGCUCCACCCAGAGGCUCUCGGCGUAGCACUCCCGUGCUUCUUUCUGGUCCACGUGGACCGUGAGAAUGUCUCCUGUCUUCGAAGGGAAUUUCAUUGCGAGAUGAGGGGUUGAUACUAUGGCCAUCAGCCGGUUGAUGGAUGGUCGGCCGAGGAGGAUGUUGUAGGAGGUGUUGGCGUCGAUGACCAGGUACCGGAUUUUGAUGGUUCUGGUGUUCUUCCCCUCUCCGAAGGUGGUGUACAAGUCGAUAUACCCCUUGGUGGCCACCCUUUUUGCCCGAGAACCCUACCACGUGGUCGUCGUAUGGCAUCAUCUCGGCCUCGGUCAUUCUCAUGGCCUUGAAAGUUUUCCAGUAGAGGAUAUCUACCGAACUUCCUUGGUUUACGAGGGUCUUCCUUAUGGUGAAUCGAUCUAUGUUGACCGCUAUCACCAUCGGGUCGUCCUGCUGGCGGUAGUCUACGCUCUUGAAGUCAUCGUCCGUGAAUGUGAUGGGUGGCAUUCUCGGUCGGAAUGCCACAAUGUUUACCUGAUGUACUGCCCGGAGGUGCUUCUUUCGGGCGUUGUUCGUGCUUCCUCCCCCGGCGAAGCCGCCGGCUAUAGUGUUGAUAACCUCUCGGUUACCUCUCCUAUCGGCCUCCCUGGGGGGAUCGUCUCUUCGAGGGGGGUCGGCCCUUGCGGGUUGUCGGUCGCCUAUGUUGUUUUGGUUUUCUCGGCCGCGGUGAGGUGACCUCGUCCGCCUGGGUGGAUCCGCCCGGCCUGGUUGGUCUCGGCCAUUCCUGACGAACCGGCAGAGAUGCCCAGCCUGGAUAAGUUCCUCUAUCUUGUCCUUAAGGGCCUGACACUCGUCGGUUGAGUGUCCGGUGUUCUGGUGGUAUCGACACUGCUUCCUUCGGUCGGCGUUAUUUGGACUGGCCACCUUCCUUGGGGGAGGGAUCAGCUCAGCGUUAAGGGCUUCGUCCAGAAUCCUUCCCCGCUCGGCCGUUAGGGGUGUAUAUCUCGAGAAACGGAUCGGUCGGUCUCGGUUUUCCCAGCGCCGGUCCGUUCUCUGUAUCGGCCGCACCUGUCGGUCUUUUUCUUCCUUCCUCUCUCCGCCGGCCUCGGCACGGGCCUGGUUGCGGAACUCUCUUAGUUCCUCCAACUGCAUGUACUUAGCGGCUCUCUUUCUCAGCUCGUCCAGGCUGUCGGCCGGCUGCAUGCAUAGGUUGUCGGCAAAGGGCCCCGGGCGCAGGGCCGUCAGCAUGUGGUGCAUGGCGACAUCCGGACUCAGAUUUCGGAUGCUCAUCGCCACUUUACUGAACCUAUCCACGAAGGCUCUCAGCGACUCUCCCUUCUCCUGGCGGAUGCCUACCAGGGCGAUUGAGGUCAGAUGGUGCGGCCGGCUAGUCGCGAAUUGUGUUUCGAACUUUGCGACGAGCGUGGCAAAGCUAUCUAUGGAGUUGGGUGAGAGCUUGGUAAACCAACUAAGGGCUGCACCCUUCAAGGAUGUGGGGAACACUCGGCACAAGACGGCGUCGUCCGAGGUAUAGAGACUCAUAUGGGUGGUGUAGGCGUCCAUAUGCUCGUCCGGGUCGGUCGACCCGUCAUAUCGGUCUCGGUUGAAACCCUUCCACUUCUCAGGAAGUGGGACUUCGAUGAUGUUGUUUGUAAAGGGGUGACGGCGGUUCGGGUCGGCCGUCAGGGUCGUCCGGGUGGAUCUGAUUAGGCACGACUCGUCGCCCAUUUCAGUCUCGCGGGGAGGGGGUCGGCCUCUCGUCCCCUCGGCCACAUCCGGGUUGGGGGGAGAGGUGUAGGACUUGCCGACCACGUUCGUCGGUAUGACAGAGGGUCCUCCCUCCCCCAGCUUCUUCCUCAUAUCUUCGUUUUCCCUGCGGAGAGCUUGCAGCUCUUGCUCAUUUUUCUGAGCGGCCUCCUCGGCCUUUCUUCGCAUCUCGGCCAUCUCCCUCUGGAGAGACAGCAGCAGCAUUGUUUGGUCGGCUUCAGUCAUUCUUUCCAUGCUUCUUGUCGAAACCAUCUACUUUUUUCCUUCAGCUAGUUUCCCUCGGCCCCACGGUGGGCGCCAAUUGUUCUUGCUAGGGAGAUGGGACCUAGAGAACUAUUGAAGUCUUCUUCUCCUUCCUUCGGUCGGGCAGAUGACUGGGUGACGAACUGGNNNNNNNNNNNNNNNNNNNNNNNNNNNNNNNNNNNNNNNNNNNNNNNNNNNNNNNNNNNNNNNNNNNNNNNNNNNNNNNNNNNNNNNNNNNNNNNNNNNNCUCGGGACUCGGUCGUCGGGUGAACACCGGAUGGUGGGGGUACCUGCGAAGGCACUCCGACGCUCAAGUCAGUAAAGCAGGUGGUUAGCUCUCAGGUAGGUGAACAGUAAUAAUGACAUCCCUUACUCCUUGAAAUGCGUGCUAUUUAUAUUAUUCUAGUGGGCCUACCUUGUUGGGCCCGUUUAUCGAGGUGGAUACCGCUUAGGGUUGCAUUACCUAAUUCCUGGUGAUGGAUUAGCUUCACUGAUCUUGGUUUGAGCGUUAAUUGUAAUGGGGUUCGGCCAUCGGCCAAAUUCUCAGGGUGAGGAUCGGCCAUCGGCCAAGCACUCGUGGCCUUCGGCCGUCUUGGCUGAGUCUUCGACGGUCUCGGUCUCUCGGCCAAGUCUACAAAAGGUCUCGGACCCUCGGUCUUUCGGCCAAGUCCUCAAGGGGGUAUCAGCCUUCGGUCACUCGGGCAGGUUGACUGGGCAUCGGGCAGCCAGGUGGUCCCAGUCUCGCCCGGUACCGGUACAAUAUAAAUGUACAAAAAAGAAAUUAUCAAACACUAGUAACAUUUAUAUCCUAAAAGGGAAGUAAAAAGUGUAGUAUGCAUGUAAUGCAGGAACACAUAUCUAUCUUGUACUUACCAGACGCCUUUAGGAAGAAGAAGAACUUGAGAUACUGAUUACUGUUAUUAUGACUGAUGGAUUACCUGAAUAUAUGAGAGAAAGUGAGUUGAUAGGAAAAGCUAUAUAUAAAAGAUUCAGGUGGACUAUAAGCUAAAAGAUUUUAUAAAGAAAAAACUUAGGCAUAAGAAAUGUUGAAACUUAACCUCAAAAUGUGAAUACAUGUACAAUUAUAAACAACUUUCUUUCUCAUUCAAUCAUAUAUAUUCAGAAAUGUACGUUACUAUCCCCAUAAAUUUCUUGAGUUAGGAAGCAAUUAGAAUAAGGGUUUUAAAAUGCAAACCACACCAACGAGAAGGGAUUAAGAAGCAUCUCUCACCAAGUGAAUGAAGUUUUCAUUUGAAGAAGGGUGAAUAGGUGGGGGUAAGAGGUAUGGGUUUGUUAGGUUCUAUGAAGUUAGGAAGAGAAGACAGAUGGAGAGAGAAGAGACAACAUAUCCUACAUUAUCCAAUGAUACCUACGAGGAAUGGUCUAGACCGGUGAUUGAAACCAACCCAGUACAAAUGGCAUGGCUAACAAAAAGUUUAGUUGGAAGGAUACACAAUCAUCAACCCUUGAAAACAUAGAAGAAAAAGUUUAGUCUUGACAUAGUUUUUACUAAACAUUCAAGAUUAAGCCAUAUACACAAAAGAAGAGAAGGUAUAUGUCUUUCACCCAAAAAAGUUGCUGCCAUGUUCAAACAUAGAGUAUAUUAAUUCCAAAAAGCUUCUCAAAAUCAUCCUACUACCAAACUGCUUCAUCAUCUUAGCUUCUACAUAAGCGCAUUACUAUGUAUCAAAAAAAAUAAAAAAUUCCAUAUCUGUACAAUUACAGGUGCCGAUAUAAUCGAUUUCUUAGACAAUUUGCAAACAAAAUAUUUGGCUUAUAUAUUUGAGUGUCACCAAGAAAUUAGGCUUCACUAUGGAAAAUGGAGAAGAAAAAGGAGAAUGUAAUAACGCGAUAUUCAUGCCUCAAAUAAGAAAGAAUAUCUUUUACUUUCAUUUAAAUUUUUUAAUAUAAUAUUGAAAACAUUAUUAAAAGUAUUUUGUAGUAAUAUAUGACAUCAUUGUAAUAAAAAAUGACAAAUAUAAAAAAAUAACAAUUCAAUUGGGAUGAUGAAUUCCUACCUGUUUGUGAAACAACUGCUGGAUUGUUGCGUUGAGAUCCCCGUGAAAGGUUAAAUCAGAAGAAUCAUUCGAUGUUUUAAUUCCCAAAAGCAUUGGCACUUUUAUGACUCCUUCAGAGAAAGUUUCCAUUUUAGGGCAUUUAGCUACCAUUACCUUUUUCAAAUAUGAGCACUGCAAAGUGGCAUUCCCUGAACAAAACCUUACUAGACUUGGUAGGCAAUUAAGCUCAAUUGAUCUUAGUCUUCCAAAUACCAUUUCCUCACAAUCAUCUUCAUCUUCAUUUUUUGCAAUUUCUUUUAUUGAUUCACAAUCCUCCACAACUAGGCUCUCCAGUUUCACCAAACUUUUGAGUGUUGCAAAUGUGAAUAAAUACUCCAUCCUUUCACACUUCCUCACAGAUAACAUUUGAAGAUUAAUGAAAGACACAGCAGACGAAACUAAUUUUUCCACCAGAGGGCACUUGUUGAGCUUUAACAUUUCAAGUUUUUGACAGUAUGGUUGUACCCAAGGAUGCUCUAAACCAAUCCACUCUAACUCAUUUAGUUCCAACAAGGAUAAUUGUUGCAAUCUCACUAGUGCUGUGUCAUGAACUUUAAUCUUUUGAGAGGGAAAUAUCUCCUUCAGACCAAAGCAUUUUUCUACCUCUAGAUAUUCUAAAUUGGGUACCUUGUGAAAGAAAUCAAAAGGCAAAGUCUCUUUCUCAUUGUUAUCAUCCUCAAAGCACAAAUAAAGAUGACUUAACUUGUAAAGAAGGUCUUGUGGCACACGUGCAUUGCUCAACAACAUAAUAUUUUCCUCAUUGAGUAUCAAAUUCUUCAGAUUGGGAGAAGCCUAACAAUUGAGGCCAAACAAAUUCAAAAGAAAAAUGCAUAGUUGAUAUUAGAUAUAAGCUAUAGAAGGAAAAUAUAUAAUGAAAAGAAGAGAAAGCACAAAAAUGUAAAAAUGCUAAUGCUUCGUUACCAAUAUUUCAACCGAGAAUAAAGGUUGUUGUAGCAGGCUAAUUGGAGCCUCUAUAACUCCUUCUUUCUCACCAUCGUCAAAGUUUGAUGUGAAUAGCUUCAACUUAGGACAAAAAACCACUUUUAAUGUAUCUAGCAAGGGACAUUCCAUAUGAUGUUUUCCAGGAUAAAAGCAACUCAAGACUGGCAUACUCGAAAGAGUUAGAGAGGACAAAUAAGGGAAUUCAAACAUUAGUGUCGUUCCAUGUUCCAUUCCAUCUUCCUUUCCAACUAUUUCUAUUAAUUUCUCACACUCAUCUAUAUAAAGUUUCUCAAGCUUCUCAAGAUUUUUAGCAGAGGAUGAAGAGAACAGUGUUACCAAGUUUCCACAAGCACUGACAACCACUUCUUGCAAAUAUGGAAAACUGACAAAUCCUCUAGGAUUUUCCUUCCAUAGACAUUUCACAUUUGGCAAGUUUUGUAAAAUAAGCUUUUUCAAAGGACAAAGUAUUCCCUUCUCACUCUCAUCUAUGUCAAAUAUUACUUGCACUGCGCCAGAACUAUGCACAUUCAAUUCUUCUAAGUUAUUUAAGUAAGGAAGUACAUGAGAGGGAAUUAUAAUAUGUCUAUUACAUGCUGCAUCAAAUUCCAAUUUAUUGAAACUGCCAAAAAAGUUUUCCGAAAUAACGGGUUUUUUGUGCUGAACUUUCGCCAUCUCAAGAUAAUCGUCAAGAAUCAUGAGCUUUGAAUAGUUGAAAAAACCCUAAAAGAAAAAAAAAACACAAUGACAGGUUAAUAGACAACUAUACUUUACAUUUAAUUGAGAUCACUUGGAUUUAUCUUUCAUUGUUGAAAUCUAUAUAUAUUUACAUUAUUAGUUGUGAAAUAUAAAAUUAUCUUAUAUUAAAGUUCAUUUUUAUUUUUUAGUUAAAUUAUGAGCUUAUUGUCUACCUUUAUUAGGUAUGCCAACCAUUUCUGAUAUAAAAAAGAGAGCAAAAUAACAAUAAAAUAUGGUUAACGGUUUUAGCGCGGAUGAAAUUAGGGAUAUUAAGGGGACCGCGGGUUUAACUACUUCAUCUUUAUCCAACUUAAAGGAGUGGAUGUGGGGGGCAUGUGGAAGGAGGAACCAUAUUAGGUUAGGUCGGAAGCAAAAAAACUGUUUGAAGAAAUAUUUUCUGCCACAAAGGAUUACGGGAUUAGAUUUGGUGAAGUGGAGUUUAAAUCUAUAUCCAGGGAGGAUAAUAGAUUCUUAAUAACUGGCUUUUCAGAGGAAGAAAUAAAGGAUGAAGAAAUAAAGGAAGUGGUGUGGAUUUGUGACACUCGAAGAAACGGGACCAGAUGGUUUUAACCUUAAUUUCAUAAAGAAUAACUGGGAAGUCUUGAAGAAAGAUAUUAUUGAGGCGGUUAGACAAUUCCAAGUUACGGGUAGAAUCCCUAAAGGCGGCAAUGCUUCUUUCAUAACUCUUGUACCUAAGGUGAGAGACUCCCUUCAAUUAGAUCAGUAUAGGCCUAUUUCAUUGCGUAUAAGAUUAUCUCGAAGGUCCUAGCGAGUAGAAUUAAGAAGGUUCUGUCAUCGAUUAUUGAUGAGAACCAGUCAGCUUUUUUAAUUUUUUUCAUGUUGAUGGAUGGAGGAGAACUGGGAGGUACUACGGGUGCUUUAUUAGUGUUAUCAUUGCAAAUUUCAUGAUGGAAGUCUGCUCUGUUUAAGGGGAUGGCUUCCUGGACUAAUUUGGUGUGGUGGUUUAGGGUACUACUAUAUUGUUGCAUUUAGUACUGCCUUGUUCUGUUAUGCAGGUGUGAGGUAAGCAAAGGUAGCCAUACGGAGUCGCUAAUGGUUUGGUAACAGGGCCAGAAUAUCUUUAUGACAAUACCAUAUUGUAUCAGCUAAGUGGGCUCUAAAUAGAAGUAAUGGGAUGGUGGAAAUGUAAUCUAUAUAUGAUGCAGCUUGGAUGUUUAUUUGUUCUGUGGUACGUGGGACUUUUUCCAAGCAGUUGAAGACUUUGUUUAGUUUGGCCUAGUCUAUUUGGUCUUUUAGAUGCGUCAAUCUCCAUGUACAGAUACUUAGGCCAUGGUUUUGCCCAACUUCUGUUAUAUUAGUUUUAGCUUUUUUACCUGUUAUCUAUUUGGUUUGUUUUUUUUAAGAUGGGUUUUGUUUAAGGGUUGGGACACCCUAAAAUAUUUCUUUUAAUUUAUUUAUUUUUUUGAUAAAAAAAAAUAUUUUAUGUAUCCAUGAAUUAAAAUUAAUUAUUUCAAAGAUAAAGUUUAUGAUUGUGUUAGGUUGAUUUCGUUGUAUUUUUGUUUAUUGUUUUCUUCACAAAGCCUUUUGAUCAGAGAAAAACUUCAAAAAAUGUGUCACGUAUAUAUCACUAGUAAAAUUACAUUUGAGUAACAAUAGAAGUAAGAAAGAAUGUGUCCAAAAGGUUCUCUUCGGGUUUAGCAACAUUCUUUUCAAAGAAUAGCAUUAUGCAGGUGGUUGUCAUUAUAAUUAUAAGAUUCAUGUUACUCUUUUUGUGGUAAUUAGUGAGUGGAAGGAAGGGAAAGGAAAAGGGAAAUAGGAAUGGAGUGGACCCUUUUGCUAUUAAAGAAACUAAUUUGUUGUUUUAUCAUUUUUAUUAAAUAAGUGAUGUUUUCUUUAUAAUAAAAUACAAACUAAUUAAUGUCCAUAAUUUUAGAAUUAGUAAGAAAAUAUUUUAUAACAAAAAAAGGAAAGGUAAUAACUAAUGUAAUAUUCAUCUUCAGGAAAGAAGAAUAUAUUUUGCUUUUAUUUAAUAUUUUAAUAUAUUGUUGAAAAUAAUAUUAUAAAUAUUUUGUAAUAAGAUAUGAUAUUAAUGUAGAAAACUCUAUAUAAAAUAAUAAAUUAGUUAUUGUUGUAAAUAAUAUGAGGUUUUGGCUUAAACAAGGUCAUAUCAUUAAAAUUAGUUAGAUAUUAAAACAUAACAGUUGAAUUUGAGGAAUGAAGUGCUACCUUUUGGUGAAACAACCUCUGAAUCGUUAUGUUGAGAUUGCCGUCGAAUGUUAAAUCAAAAUCCUUUGAUGUUUGAAUCCCCAAUAAAGCUGGAGCUUUUAUGACUCCUUCAGAGAAAGUUUCCAUAUUAGGACAUUUAAUUACCUUCACCGCUUCCAAACACGAAAAUUGCAAAGUGGCAUUCCCUGAAUAAAAGCUCACUAGACUUCGUAAGCAAUUUAGCUCAAUCAAUCUCAGUCCUCCAAAUACCAUCUCAUCAAAACCAUCUUCAUCUUCACAUUUUGCAAUUUCUUUUAUUGACUCACAGUCCAUUAUUUGUAAGUUCUCAAGUUUUACCAAACUUUUGAAUGUUGCAAAGGUGAAUAAAUACUCCAUCCUUUCACAGUUCAUCACAAAUAACCUUUUAAGAUUAAUGAAGGACACUGUAGACGAAACUAAUUUUUCUACCUGAGGGCACUUGUGGAGAUUUAACAUUUCAAGCUUUUCAGAGUAUGGUUGUACCCAUGGAUGCUCUAAACCUACCCACUCUAACUCAUUUAGCUGAAACAAGUUUAAUUCUUUCAAUCUCACAAGUGUUGUGUCAUGAACUUGAAGCUUUUGAGAGGGGAAUAUCUCCUUCAGACCAAAGCAUUUUUGAACACGAAGAACUUCUAAAUUGGGUACCUUGUGAAAGAAAUCAAAUGGCAAAGUACCUUUCUCAUUGUUAUCAUCCUCAAAACUCAAAUGAAGACCAUUUAACUUGUGAAGAAGGUCUUGUGGCAAACGUGCAUCGCUCAACAACAUAAUAUUUUCCUCAUUGAGUGCCAGAAUCCUCAGGUUGGAAGAAGCCUAACAAUUGAUGCCAAACAAAUUGAAAAGAAAAAUAUAUAGUUGAUAUUAGAUAGAAGCUAUAGAAGGAAAUGAAAAGAACAGAAAGCACAAAAGUGUAAAAAUGUUAAUGCUUCGUUACCAAUAUUUCAACCGAGAACAAAGGUUGUUGUACCGGGCUAAUUGAAGCUUCUAUAACUCCUUCUUUCUCACCAUCGUCAAAGUUUGAUGUGAAUAGCUUUAACAUAGGACAAUAUUUCACAUUUAGCGAAUAUAAUAAGGGACAUUCCAAAUGAUGUUUUCCAGGAUAAAAGCAACUUAAGAUUGGCAUACUCAAAAGAGUUAGAGAGGACAAAUAAGGGAAUUCAAACAUUAGUGUCGUUCCAUGUUCCAUUCCAUAUUCUUUUUCAACUAUUUCUACCAAUUUCUCACACUUUUUUAUUGUAAGUGUUUUAAGCUUCUCAAGAUUUCUGGCUAGGGAUGAAUAGAAUAAUGUUACCAAGCUUCCACAACCAAUGACAACCACUUCUUGCAAAUAGGGAAAGUUGACAGUUCCUUCCAGGUUUUUCUUCCAUACACAUCUCAAAUUUGGCAAGUCUUUUAAAGUAAGUUUUUUCAAACAAAAGAUUAUUCUCUUCGUCUUGAUCUCAAUAUCAUUAAUGUCAAAUAUUAUCUCCACUGCAUCAGAACUAUGCACAUUCAAUUCUUUUAAGUUCUUCAAGUGAGGAAGGACAUGAGAGGGAAUCAAAAUAUCUCUUUUACAUGCUGCAUCGAAUUCCAAUUUCUCUAAACAGUUAAAAAAAUUAUCUGGGAAAAUAGGUUUGUUGUGCCGAACACCUUUCAUCUCAGGAUAAUCAACAAGUCUUGCGCACUUUGAAUAUUCAAAAGAAACCUAGGAAAAGAAGAAAAUGUCAAGAGUAAAUGACAUUCAAUGAUUAAAUGUCGAUAUUAAAAGUCUCUAUACAUUGAGUACGUUUAUUUAAUGAAAUCCUUUUGGUAUAUUAUCAGUUACGAACCAUUUGAAUGAAAUUAAAAAUAAAUAUUUUAAUGAAUACCUGAUCUGUGAAAUGUUUCUGCAAGGUUGCACUCAAAUCACCUUCCCAAUACCACUUGUAUUUGUCUUUGGUUGCAACAUGUACUUUCACUAGGUUUGGAGUACUUUGGACUUCAGAUAAUUUUGACAUUUGAGGGCAUUCACUCACUACUAAUUUUUCCAGUAGUGGGAAUUUUAAGUCACACUCAUUUGAGAAACACUUGAGAUUUUGUAGAGACACCAAUUCUAGUGACUCUAAUAGUUUAAACUCAAUCUCUUCUACUUUUUCUUCAACAUUUUCUGCAACAAUUUCCACAAUCAUUGGACAUGAACUUACUUUCAUCCUUUUGAGUUGAACCAAGGUUUUAGCAGUUGAGGUUGUCAUUAAAUUCCUCAUCGUACAAUUCACCACUUCUAAAUAUCUUAAGUAACUAAAAGAUACCGAGGACGACGCUAGAUUUCUCAAUUUUUUACAUCGUUGAAUGAUUAAGCUUUCUACCCUUUGAAGAAGCACGUCAUGCUCAAAGCCAAUCUCUUCAAGACCCCACAUGCUAUCUAAGCUCAACUUUUUAAGUUGCAUAACAACACCUAUUUUUUCACGUGAAAUAAGACUUUCAGAAGCCCAAAUCCUUUCCAAGUGACACAAUCCCAAUCUUAAAAUUUUCAAAUUGGGAAGUCUAUGAAGAAACCAAAAGAGAAUUUCACUAUUAUUCAAUCCAAUCAAGGUAAGUUCUUCUAGUUUGUGCAUUCUGUGAACAUUAGCAAUGUAUUUCUGCAACCACUCUACUACGUUCAAGCUUAAUGACAUAUCUUCCAAGUUGUAUAUCACCUAAAUAAAUAAAUAAACUUAUUAGUAUCAAAGUAUACGUUUGAACCAUAAUGUAUUAUUUUGCUACAAGAAAUAGAAUACAUAAUCUCACAUCCUUGUCAUGCACUGCUAAUUCAUGUUUUUCAUCUAAACAAGGCAAGUUCUAUGUUUCCCAUAGAAAAGUUCUAGAAACAAACUUUGUGUACCUUUUUUGUAGCUAAAACAAUUGGUUGCACUCUUGAAUUUGUGAUUUCUGAAGUGAACCCUUCCAACAUGCUACAAUUGACUAUUCUCAAUUCCUUUAAUGCUGGCCACUCUAAAGUGUGAGUUCUUGGGUAGAAACUCCUCAAAUUAUAUAAGUAUAACAAUGAUAGAGUGUUUAAAUGAGGGAACUUAAAAUUGAUAGCAUCUACACUUGCAUGUUUGUCCCAAGCAACAAUUUCUUUCAUUGCCCAACAUUUUCGUACCUUAAGGACUUCCAGUUUUUCUAGGCCAAUGAAAACAGAAAGUGGAAAGAGAUAUUUUAAAUUUGGACUCCUAUCAACUCCUAUGCUUCGUAAAUUAUUAUAUUUAAGUAUUUCACUAAUAUCAUCCUUCCAUAUGUUCACCAAAUUUGGAAGCAUUUCUAGAAUUAUAUUAUCCAAGUUUGUUUCAUUUAUAUCACAAGAUUGUGGAAUAUUUGAAAAGUCAAAUAUGUUUUCCACCAAUUUGCAAUUUGUAAUUGUCAAGCUUUGAAGCGUCUGCAAUCUUUCCCCCAUAUAACUAGGAAAAAUCGUAACAAGUUUGUGACACUCUCUUAUUAUCAAAGAGUCCAAACUGCGAAAGGAAUGUAAUCCAACAUGGGAAAUCCAAAUGGUACUGAGUUUCUCCAUGCAAAUUAUCUCCAUUUUCUUCAACUUUGGGAAAACGUCAAUAUACUGUUACAAAAAAAAAAAAAGAUUGAAGGUGAGCAAUUGAAAGACCUAAACAAUUCAUACAAUUAAACAGCAAAUGAUAAUAUUAAUCAAACUCAAUAUUAAAUGAAUCCACACACCACUGCAUUUUCUGGACGAAAUAUAUCUUCCAUCAUUUUACACUCAGUUACAUAAAGGCUUUGAAGAUUCACCAAACUUUCAGCCAUGGAGACUGAUAGCAAAUACUUUAAAUUACCACAAUCUAUCACAUUCAAUGUGAGCAGAUUUUCAAAACAAUGGUCAUAUUGGUCACUCCAUAUCUCUUGGAUGUUGAUUGUGGAUAACUCCAGCCAUUCUAAUUUGGGAAUUGAAACCUGUAAGAACACAAAGGUAACUAUAUAUUUUGACAGAUGUUUUCCCUAAGAGAAAUGAUAAAACUUAAAUGAGUUAAGUUUUUUAUAUUUCUUUUAAAGGAAUAAUAACAUACAAAUUAAACUUACGAAUGUAAUUAUGAUAAGGUUAUUACAUACCUUUCCAUUGAAGAGUGGAAGGCAAGAAUUAAUGACCCUAUUCUCAAUGUCAGUGAAAAUAUCUUUGUUCCUGUGUUGUGGUACUCGGUCUUGCAGCGAUUGUGCACUAUCAGACAUCUUAUCAAUGGUAUAUAAACAAGUAAAUGUUGGUAAAGACUUUAAGGUUAAAAGUCGUAACUGAGGAAACUCAAUCUUGUCAUCACGAGUUUGUAUUUCUUCUGAAACUAUAUUGUCAUCAUGAGUUUGUCUUUCUUCUGAAACUAUCUUCUUGAAAGAAUCACAAUCACACACUUCAAUUGUUUCAAGCAGAGUGAGGAGUCGAACCAUGGAAAAUGGGAAAAGGCUUCCCAAUUUAACACAUGUUUUAAUCUUGAUCACUUUUAAACUACGGAAAGAUGCCUCAGCAAGCUGAUUGUCACAUAUUUUCUCCAAAUUAUGCAGUUUGUAAAGCCAUAUGGACUCCAAUUUGGGAAAAGUGAGUAAAGGGUAAAACUGCUCCACAUGGUUGAUAAUAUACUGAAUGCCAAUAUUGUUUACAAUGGAUAAAUGCUUCAAAUUUGGAAAUCCCUCAACAUUUAAUUCAUAGAAAAUAUCUUGAACAUCGUUGAGUUCCCCCAACAACAAACAUUCAACAUUUUUUAACAACAUUUUAACCCAUUUUUCUGAAUGAAUAUCAAUACCUUCUUCUAGGUUCAAUGCCAGAAAUUUCACCUCCUCAUACUUGUCAGGAACUUUGAAUUCUCCCACUUUAUUCAAGUUAAGCAAGUUGAAUUCACCAACGAAAAUCUUGUAACUAUUCAAAUUGUCGAAAAACAAGUUUCGCGAAAAAUGGCCAGAACUCUGAAUGUGUAUGUCUAGAUUUUGCAACUGAUUCAAUUUCCUUAACUCAGACAUACUAGCAUUUGCACUAUUGAUAGUUUCCUCAGCCUCCCACAGAAUUAGACUGUCUCUGAUAUAAAGUUCCUCUAAAGCGUUCAUCCUUGGUAUGAUAUUGGACCUUAUUUCUCUUAGUUUUGAGCAAUUGCUUAUGUCGAAAAGCCGAAGCUUAUCCAAUUGCCCAAAUUCAAGAGGCAAACUUUCAAUAUUAGAUCCUGAAAGAGUAAGGAUUCGUAAAUUCUUUAACUCACCAAUGAUUGAUAGGUUAUUUCCUAGAGUGCAUCUCUCCAAACAAAGCAUUCUCAGUUUUUUUAGGCAUUUAAUUGAUGAAGGUAAGCAAGAUAGAUUAACACCAGUCAAUACCAACACUCUAAGUCGAACCAUAGAUUUAAAAAAGUCAUCUGGUAUUUUGAAAGAUUCAUUUUCAUUGUCAAUGUGCAAGACUUCAAGUCUAGGACAAUGUAUACUCUCAGGAAGCUCAUCAUUGAUGUCACAAUAGUGUAAAAAAAUGGCAGUGUACCUUUCAAAUUCAUCUUCGUGAGGCCACUCAUCAAGAAAGGCAUUUUUCAUAUAAAAUACAUGUUUUUCUUUGGAUGAUAUUGAAAUAGCAACAUCUCGCACAAUGUCAUGCAUGUUGAAGCGGUCAUCAGAAUAACUCCUCACUAACAAACUCGAUUCUUCUAGCUCCUGUAUAACCUCCUUUACUCUUUUCCUCGCAUCUGUUAUUGUGUGGACUCCUUGCAGCAAAUUCAAACCAAUGCAAAAUUUGACCAAGUCCAUAAUCAAAGCAUCAUGUCCCAUUCUUGCGCAAUGUAAGAAAAUAGACUUUAGCUGCUCAUUUUUUAGAUGAUCGUAGCUCAACUUGAUAGAGAAGUCAGUAAAUCCCCAUUCUUCUGUAAAACUUUGUCUUUUAAUUUGUUGACAAACAUGCUUCCAUGCAGAUAAGCUUUUAUGCUUUAGUGUCCUUCCUAUGGAAACUAUUGCUAUAGGAAAUCCAGCACUCCAUUUGGCAAUUUCAGUAACAUUACCAUCGAACUCGGAAGUUUUUACGUCAGCAACUUUCUUAAGCAAAGUCUCUGCCUCUUUUUCAUUGAGGACUCCUACUGAAAAAGUUGAGCUCUCAUGCUCAUCCAUUUGAUUACAUAGUACAUGUUUAUAUCUAGAAGUUAGAAGAAUUUUGCAUCCUUUGUAACUCCUAGAUAACUUUCCCUUUUCCAUCUUAUUCAAAUCAAUUUUUGACAACUCUUCUUUCUUGGUCUUAUUGUUACCAAAUUCAGAUAUGUCAUCGCUGUUUUCAAGAUUAGAUAUCUCAUUGACCUCUCGUUUGCUUUCAUCAUCAUUACAUGGAAUCCCAAGUUUAUUCAAGUCCAAUCCAUCCCAAAGAUCAUCAAGGAUAAUAAGGGUGUUCUCCUUUUCGUUCUUUAACCUCUUUCUAAUACGAUCUACUCUUGAAAUCUCAUUUUCCCCUUCUAAUCUCAUUCCUAGCAUGUCAGCAAUUUGUCCUUGAAUAUUUUUGAAAUCAGGAUUUCUGCCAAUAUUUGCUAUGACCACUGUCUUGAACAACUUAUUUUCUCGAGCUAUCUUAGCAACUUCUUUGACUAAAGUGGUCUUACCAACACCACCAGGCCCAUGAACUCCAAUCAUAUCAAUGGUAGAGUCUUCCAGUGCUUUCAAAAUCAUCUCCAUAUUUGUAUUUCUAGACGUAAAGCUCUCAUAGCCUAUGUUUGAAAAAGAAACAUCAGUGGAUGGGCCUUUUUGAUACGAAACAUUGUCAAAACCUUUCUCCGAAAGUUUAUCUCGUUCGAUUUCCUCUAUCUUCUUUGUAGCUUCUCUGCCUAGUUGAUACCUCAAUUUGAAGUUAUUUGGAAAGAAACCAAGUGAGCAAAUUGUCUUUGCAUGACACUCAUUGUGAAUAUAACUUGUAUAUUCUUUUAUCUUCUCAUCCAUCAGCUUUAAGCAACCUUGAACGUCAUUUUCAAUUUCAUCUGCAUUCCUUAGUGCUUCAUCAACUUGUUGUUGUAGCCUCUCCCUAUUAUCUUCCAGCUUCUGAAUGUAAGAUUCCAAGUCUUUAAAUUUGUCUUUGUAGUUGAAAAAGUAGCCCAUUUGUCGUUUGACCACGCGUGCUACAAUUUUCACUGCACUUUCAGUUGUUGUAGAGACAAUUGUUUCCAUAUCCCUUCACAAUGAACGCUUUCGUCUUGAUUUUUUGCUUCCUACUUUUAAUUAGUAAUUUUCCCCCCUAAAUAUUACAAAACACAAAAGGAAAUUGAUAAAAAAAAUUCAGCAAACAGAAACGAAUUUUGAUGACACUUAAAAGUUCAUCUAAAAAACAACAUAGAAACCAAAAAAUGUUUAUAGAUACUAUAAUAAUUUAUAAAAUUACAGCAUUAAAAAAGUACUAAAAAGUUGUCAAUGCCAAAAAAAUUGUACAAGUGAUGCCAGUUAUUUUCGAUUGAGAUUUUUUUUAGCUUCACUUAAUAUUUCUAUAUGACUUUUAUUUUGCUGGUAUGUUCGGUUAAAAUUUAAAAAACAAAUUAGUUGUAAGAAUGACUCAUGAUGUCUACUUAUAAUAGCGUAGCCAAAAUUCAUAGUUUUUCUAUUUAAGCUUUUUGCUAUAAAAUUAGAAAGUGUGCAAAAAAUAAUAUAUCAAGAGAUCAGAUUUAACUCCUCUUCUACCUCUAUUAUUCGUUAUGUUUUUAACUUUUUAUCUAGUAUCUAAUUAGUUAAUGAUAAAUAAUAUUUUCAAAGUAUUUCUAAUAUUAAAAGAUCAUAUAAAUAAAAAAAUCCAAUAAAAACUUAUUAUAAAAAAAUAUAAUUUUUAUUCUAACUUAAAGGUUCCUUUUAGUUCUUUAUCAUUUUCUUAUCCAUAUACUUACCACUUUCUCUUUUGGAGGAAAACAACAUUUAUGGAAUGAUUUGUCAGUAAUCAGGCAAGCACAGAUGAGUAAUACGUGGUGUGUUAUAGGUGAUUUUAAUGUAGUAAGAUCCCUUCAUGAGAAGAAAGGUGUUAAUAACCAUGGAAUGAUGAAGGAUGCUGUAAUAUGUUGGAGAAAGAAAGAUGCAAUGUUAAGAUUAGUUGAAGGAUAAAGAGAGAAGAUCCUGGAGAUGCAAAUUCCAAACAAUCAGUAUACAGGAUAACAGGAUUUGCCCAGCGACAUUUGUAUAACAAUCUGUCGUAUGUUUUUAAGUUGGCAAAUGCUUCCUAUACCCAAUUAUUUUUAAUCUGCACCCAACAUAUUUUUUUAAUUUCCAAAAAUAUUCUUUAUUCUGGAAAUAAAAAUUCAGAAUUAAAAAUAAUAUAUUCCAAAAAAAUAAAUCCAGAGUGAUUAUUGAGUUUCGGAAAUAAAAAUCCAGAAAAAAAAAUUAAAAUUCUAUUUCAGACAAAAAAAUAUGGAAUUGAAAAUAAUACAUUCCAGAAAAAAAAAAUCCGAAAAAGAUAUUAUUGUAUUUUGGAAAUAAAAAUCCGGAAAAAAAAUGAAAAACUCAUUCUGGAUAAAAAAAUUCGUAAUAUAAAAUUUCGUCCUGGAAAAAAAAAAUCCAAAACACAUAUUUCGGAAAUUUUUUUUAAGGAUAGUUUCGUCUUUUCCGGUGGAAUCGAGUGCAGUGAUAUGGUGCAGGAAGCAAUUGCCUUUUAAGUUUAAGUUAUUGGGCCUAUAUCUUUCUUAUGGGCUGUGUUCCUAAGCCCAAAUUGUUUUUUUUUCUUUUUUUUUCUCUUUCGUAUGUAUAAAGCCUUAUCUGUUACAACAUCUGAAAAUAUAUGGAAAAUACAGUUUUUAGUUCUUUCCAGAAAAUGCUUCUUGCUUCACCCACACUGUUUUGUUCUUUACUUUCUUCUUGAAAUCAAGAAACUCAAGAUGGUAUCAGAGCGAGUUUGACCCGCUCUUGAAAUCAUGAAACUUAAGAUGGUACUAGAGCGAGUUUGACCCGCUCUGACUUGCGCUUGCUUUGAUACUCCGUUUCUCCCUAUUUUUCUUCACAUUCUUGUAUCCUCUCGUCUUGCUUCUUCCAUGGCUUCCGAGGACUCUUCACAAGACCCAGCGAGUCCCUGCUAUCUUCAUCCCGGAGAGAAUCCAGGAGCGGUCUUAGUUUCACCUCCACUUGACGGUAGUAACUAUCAUUCAUGGAGUCGCGCGAUGAAAAGGGCUUUGCUCUCGAAGAACAAAUUUAAAUUUGUCAGUGGAGAAAUUCCAGAACCGACACGCAAGAGCAAACAAUACGAAGCAUGGGAGCGCUGCAAUGUCAUUGUGAUUUCGUGGAUUAAUCGGAGCCUUAUCACACAAAUUGCUCAAAGCACCAAUUACAUUGACAACACAAGGGAUUUAUGGGAAGAUCUGAAGGAGAGAUUUUCCAAAAGCAACCAUUUCUGCACUUCUGAUCUCCUUCAAGAAAUAAAUUCGAUUAGGCAGGGAGAGAGAAGCAUUUCUGAGUAUUACACAGAUUUCAGAAUAUUGUGGGAAGAACUGGAUUCUUUACGACCCAUUCCUACAUGCAUUUGUAGUUCCAAAUGCACCUGCAAAUCCUGGAUUCUUGAUACCGGAGCCACUGAUCAUGUAACCUGUGAUAUGUCUUUGUUUUUUACUUAUUAUGAAAUUGAAAUCGUGAAAGUUAGACUUCCUAAGAAUACCUAAGUUAUUGCAAAAUGUGCUGGGACCAUAGUCUUAUCUAAAGAUAUCAUAAUAUACAAUGCUUUAUUUAUUCCCGAAUUUGCUCUGAAUAUAUUAUCUGUUUAGAAACUCAACACCUCAGUUAACUAUAAAUUUGUUUUCUUUUGUGAUGAAUGUCAUAUUCAGGACACAACUACAUCCAAGAUGAUUGGACGGGCUAGGCUUGGUGCAUGAUUUUAUAAUCUUGAUUUUUCAUCCGAGAAGAACAUUGCUCUCUUCACUCAAACUGAUGAGCCUUUUCAGCAUGUCAAAAAUCUUGAUACAUGGCAUUGUAUAUUGGGUCAUCCCUCGAGUAAGGUGUUAGAAUGCACGAGUAAGACCUAUCCAGACAUAUACUUUGAUAAGAACAAUAUGUGUACUCCUUACCAUCUCGCUAAACAACAUAGAUUACCUUUUCCUUUAAGCAAAAGUACAUGUGAUAAUUCUUUUGAUCUUUUUCAUAUUAAUAUUUGGGGUCCUUUUAGUAUUCAUUCUAUUCAUGGUCACAAAUAUUUUCUCACUGUAGUGGAUGAUUACACUAGAUUUACUUGGGUAUAUAUGAUGAAAAAUAAAAAUGAAACACGUAAGCAACUUUGUUGUCAUGGUUAAAAAUCAAUUUGAUAAAGGAAUUAAAAUUAUUAGAACUGACAAUGGCCAAGAAUUUUCCUGAAAGGAUUUCUAUGAUAAGCACAAUAUCAUUCACCAAACCACUUGUAUUGAGACACCACAACAAAAUUCUGUGGUAGAACGUAAGCAUCAACACAUCUUAAAUGUGACCCGGUGUCUCAUGUUUCAAUCUAAUCUUCCUAAAUUUUUUUGGUCUUACGCCAUAAUGCAUGAUGUUCAUCUCUUAAAUAGAGUGCCUUCUUCUGUUAUUUCAAAUAAAUGUCCAUAUGAAAAAUUGUACACCAUUGCCUCUGAUAUAAGUAAUCUUUGUAUCUUUGGAUGUUUGUGUUUUGCCUCUACUAUUGAAAACAACAGGAAUAAACAUGAUCCUAGAGCCAAAAGAUGUAUUUUUAUGGGUUUUAAGGCAGGAACAAAAUGUUAUAUAGUCAGUCAUUGAUGCAAAAACCAGAGAAAUAUUUGUCUCCAAAAAUGUUCUCUUCUAUGAGAAAAUCUUUUGUCAAGUCAUUGAUAAAAGUGAACAAAAUGAGCUAAGCUAUGAUCAGAAUUUUAUGGAACACAUGUAUGACAGUUAUCAUAGAGGCAACAUGAAUGAAGUUGCAAACACUGAGAACAGAGAUACCGAAGAUCUCAGAAGAUCAACAAGAACUCAAAGAAGCCAUGCAUACCUUGAGGAUUAUCAUCAUCAAUUGCUAACCUCUUCAGAGAAGGUAAUAAACACUGACACAACAAGGUAUCCACUCAAUUCGGUCCUAUCAUAUAAAAAUUUAUCUGAUGAGCAUUUUAACCAUAGGUUUCAUCCAAUCUCAAGGUGACAAUUCUUUCUUUAUCAAAAAAUUAGAAAAAUCUUUUAUUGCUUUAUUAGUCUAUGUAGAUGACAUUAUUAUAAUCGGUGAUGAUAUGCAUGAGAUAAAUAAUGUGAAGAACUUGCUGAAUACUACUUUUAAAAUCAAAGAUCUAGGAAAAUUGAAAUAUUUUCUUGGCUUAGAGAUAACACGGACACAUGAUGGUAUUCAUCUUUGUCACAAAAAAUAUGCUCUUGAGAUCCUUGAUGAUGUAGGGAUGCUAGGUGCCAAACCAACAACCACACCCAUGCAGAAAAAGGCAGAGAAUAUGUUUGAAGAAGUUGACAUUCAUGAACCUUCAAGUUAUAGAAGACUCAUUGGACGUCUUUUAUAUCUUGUAAACACUAGACCAAAUAUAUGCUUUCUUGUUCACAUAUGAGUUAGUUUUUUCAAAAGCCUACAAUCCAUCAUCAUCGUGCCGUUCAACAUGUGUUGCGAUACAUAAAAGUUGCACCUGCACAAGGUUGUUCUAUUCAAAGAAUUUUCUUUUUGCAUUUAAAAGCUUUUAGUGACUCUGACUGGACGUCAUGUUCGAUGACUCGACGCUCAACAACUGGUUUUUGCAUUUUUUUGGGAGAAUCAUUGAUUUCAUGGAAAACCAAGAAGCAAAGCAUGGUUUCUAGAUCAUCCUCAGAGGCAGAAUACCGUGCCUUGGCUUCAACUUCAUGUGAGCUGCAAUGGUUGACAUUUCUUCUAGGAGAUCUCCAUGUCACCACCUCCACCACUGCAUGUCUUUACUGCGAUUCACAAGCAACUAUGCAUAUUGCUCUUAAUAGUAACUUUCAUGAGUGUACGAAACACAUUGACAUUGACUAUCAUGUUGUUCGUAAAAGGCUGCAACAAUUUUGUUCCACCUUCUGCCCAUUUGAUCUGCAGAGCAACUUGUAGACGUUCUAACAAAAGCCCUUGAGAGAAGCAUUUUCCAAAAACUUAUCAGCAAAUUUGAAGUUCUUUGCAUACAUGCUCCAGCUUGAGGGAGGGUUUUCAGUUUAAGUUAUUGGGCCUAUAUCUUUCUUAUGGGCUAUGUUCCUAAGCCCAAAGUGUUUUAUUUUCUUUUUUUUCUCUUUCGUAUGUAUAAAGGUGUAAAUGUUACAACAUCUAAAAAUAUAUGGAAAAUACAGUUUUUAGUUCUUUCCAGAAAACGCUUUCGUCUUCACACACUGUGUUCUGUUCUUUACUUUCUUCUUGAAAUCAUGAAACUCAAGAUAUGUUUUCCUUUUUUUGCUACUUGCACCGCCUUCGUUAAUGUGUCACCUUCAAUUCCGCAUAUUCAUUUCUUGCUAUGUACAUCAUCUUCUCUUUCCAACUUUGUCUCUUGUCUUUUCAGGUAUAUUAUCGUAGUCUUUCUAUUAUGAUUCAUUAAUGUUUGCUUGAGUGAAUGAAUGAAUGAGAGGAGAAUAUGAUGGCAAAGAAGGUGAGUGAGUGCAUGUGAGAGUGAAUAACACUUCAAUAUUGUCCUCUAUUGUUAGACAUAUCUUUAAUUUGUCUAUAAUUUUAUUUAGUAAUAUGUUAAUUACAUUUUAAUUAUGAAUUGAAGAUGGAUGGAAGUGCGAACUUUUUCUUCUGUACAAAAAUUUAAGUAUUUCUUCCAAUCCUCUUGUUUGAAAAUUUCAUAUCAUUUGUGUUGUAAUAAGUUUCAAUUGAUUGUAUUUUUUUUAUUUUUAAAUCUAUAUUUAAUUGUGAUUGAUUUUAUGUCACUAUUUUUAUUUUGUGUUACUUGAAAAAUAAUACAAAAUAAAACUUUACAUUCAUAAUAACAGGAGUAAAAAUUGAAAAAAAAAACAUAUAUUUUACCUGACUGGUUGGGUUCUCACACAAGCUUCAUAUAAUAGCUGAAACAAUUCCAAGCAGAUGAAACCUAGUAUAUAUGUGUAGUCAUAAUAUGUCAGCUAAGAGAAAUAUUUUUGGAAAUGAGAAAAAUGAUUAAAAUAAACUGGAAAUAAAAAAUAAGAAAUAAGCUAUAAAGAUUUAUAUUAAAUUGAUGUUACCUUGUAUGAAAUUGAUAGGGUUCCAUGGAGAAAGAAGAUGUUGUGGAGUUGGUAAAAUAGUUGGGAAAGGCCUGUAAGUUGAAGUUAAAUAAUGAAAAAGGAAGGAAGAGAGAUAUGAGAAAGUUUGUAUGUUGAGUAUACUGUGAGAGAAGAACUUACAGAUUGUGUUGGAUUGAGGUGAUCAAACAAAAAGAGUUUUUCCAGAAGAUGAGAUUGAAGGAGAUUUAGUUGCAAGCUUUAAGACCAUGUGAGAGUGUUAGUGUUGCUCUGCUAUGGAAGAUAAAGGAGGAUGAAUCUAUGGCUACUUCUCUGUAGUCCCCUCAGAUUCCUUGUGAUAUAAAACUUUUUACAAGGAACCAUGGAUUUUAGCUCCGUAAAGUUUUUAGAGUUGUUGUUGAUUAGAGAUGUAUGGUGUUUAAAAUAAUAAAAGUAGUUGAUGAUAUGCAAUGAUUGAACCCAUUUAUGAAUCAAAAGGUUAAAAAAAGAGUAAUCGUUGUUGAAAUAUAUCCAAGGUGGAUCUAAAUAAGUGAAUGAGAUAGUUGCAGAAGAGAUAGGAAAAAGGAAAAGAAAAGAAGUGUAUGAGAUAUUUGACCUGAGUGAUUCACUGCUGCACGUGGUUUGUAGUUGACUAGGGUGAGUGCAGUUGGUUCAUUCAAGCACUGGAGCUCAUAGAAUCUUCAGGUGUCAUGUCAGCUACACCAUUAACAAAACUCAUUAGCAGAACCGUGCAACUUCGAAGGGAGAGUUCUUUUUUUUUUCUUUUUCUAAUCAGCAAACUAAACUGAAGAAGAAAGAGAAGGUAGAAUAGAAGGGGUUGGUUAUGAAGUUGGGUGUUUGAAGCAUAAGAAGAGGCAAAAAGUUGAGUGAGUGUAUGAUGAGAGUGGUGAUAGAGUUUGAGGUGUUAAAUGAAUCCGAAGAUUAGUGAGGAUAAGGAGAAUGGAUGUAGGGGCUAGCUGUCUGUGGAUCUCAUCUAGAAUAUCGUUCAGUUUAAACUUAUAAAACUUGACUUGUAAAAUCUAAAAAAAAAUUAAAAUAAAGUUGACCAAGAGGGUGGAAGUUAUUAUUUGGAAUUUGGAAAAGAUAUAUGAAACCCGAUUUGGUGACCAAUAAAACUUUAGCCAUGAGAUAAGUUUUGUUUUCAUAUUAUAUUAUAGUUAUUAUUAUAUUUAUUAAUAUAAUUAUUAAUAUAAACAUUUAUUAAUAUUAUUGAUAUAUUUAAUAUUAUUCAUAUUAUUAUUAAAAUUAAUAACAUUAUUAAUUAUUAUAAUAUUAUUAUUAUUAAAUAUUAUAAAUUUUAAUAUUAAUAUUAUUAAUAUUAUAAAUAGUAUUAAUAUUUUUAAUAUUAUAAAUACUAUUAAUAUUAUUACUUAUAUUAUUAUUAAUAUUAUAUUCAUAUUAUUAAUAUUAUUAUUAAUAGUAUUAAUAUUAUUAAUAUUAUUAUUAAUAGUAUUAAUAUUAUAAAUAAUAUUAUUAAUAUUAUUUAUAUUAUUAUUAAUAAUAUUAUUUAUAUUAUUAAUAUUAUUAAUAUCAUUAAUACUAUUAAUAUUAUUAAUAUCACUAAUAUUAUUAAUAUCACUAAUAUUAUUAAUAUCAUUAAUAUUAUCAAUACCAUUAAAAUUAUUAAUAAUAAUAUUAUUUAUAUUAUUUAUAAUAUUAUAUUAAUAUUAUUGGUUUUGUAAUGUUAAUAGUAUGCAUAUCUAUUAGUUAUAAUUAUUAUUAUUUAUUAUUAAUAUUUAUGAAUAUUAGUUAUGUUGAAUUUACAUACACAAAUUUAAAUCCGUAGAUAAUAAUUUGUAGGUAAUAUUGAUUUUUCUUUUGUAGUAUAAUAUCCUCUAAGUUGAUCAUUAUGAGUCAUUUGGAUUAGUCAUAGUCAUAUAACUAUAUUCAUUGUUCCAUAAAUAACCACUCAUUAUUUAAGACUCAUUGAUUAGGCCGUUUUACUCAUGAUGAUCAUUGAUAGCAAUGAAGGCUCGGUUAUGGUUAAUGGUAGCCCGACUACAUAAUUUACCAACUAGGAGUUUGAGGUAGGGGGACCCCUUAGCUCCUUUUUUGUUCCUAACUGUGGAUGGGAAGUUGGCUGGAUUGGUAAGACAAACUAUUAAGGCUAAUCUACUUAAAGGGAUGGAAUUAGACAAUACUGAAUUUGAGGUUUAUAUGCUACAAGUUGAUGAUACAUUUUUUUAUAUGUCAAACUAACUAUCAAAGUGUUUUUACAAUAAAAUGUAUUUUAAGGUGCUAUGAGCUAGCUUUGGGAUUGAAAAUUAACUUUCAUAAAUCUAAAUCUAAGAUUGUGACUUUAAAUGUAGGGAGAAGUAGGUUUAGGACCUACGCAUAAAUGCAAAUUGUGCAAAAAUGGCUAAUACCAUUCAAAUGCUUAGGCCUUAUUGUUGGAGGCAAUACAAGGAGAAAGUUGUUUUGGGAACCCAUUCUUGACAAAGUAAGGGCCAGAUUAAAUGUGUGGAAAGGAAGACAAUUGUCUUUUGGCUGGUAGAAUAUGCUUGAUUAAAUUUGUUUUCACUGCUCUACCUAUUUUCUACCUCUCUUAUAACAAAGCUCUAUCAGAAGUGUGUAAAAUGAUUACCCGUAUCCAAAGGAGAUUUCUCUAUGGGUGGGGGAAACAUAAUAGAACAAUUGCUUGGAUAAAUUGUGCUGGAGUGCUUAGGCAUCAAGGAUACACAUUAUUUCAAUUAUGUCCUAUUGGCUAAGUGGAAGUGGAGGCUACUCAUUGAAAAAAAAUGAAGAUGGAAAGAAGUACUUCAAGCAAAAUAUGGUUUGGUCUCGGGACAAAUAGGUGUUCAAGCUAAAUAUUAGUCUUGAUGGUGGAAAGAUCUGGUCAAAUUAUGAGGAGAGGGAGAAGGUGUUGGAUGGUUCGAAAAAGGUGUAAGGUGGAAAGCCGGAGCAGGUGACAUAAUCAGAGAUUUUGGGAGGAUCACUGGGUCUAACAAUGCAACCUUAAGGAGAUGUAACUAACUAGGCUAUACACCAUAUUAGUUAAGAAAAGCAGUUUGGCUGGCAUUAAGUGUUAAAUGAUGAGUAUAAAUCCCUUCUAUGGUUGCUAUUCAAAUUUCUUAAUGGAGUUUGGUUUCACUAGGGUAUUCCUUUAUGACGAAAUCCAAAGGCUUUUCCUUUUUGGAUCCGUUUAUUCAUUAGAUUUCUAAAUAUCUGCGUAAUUUGAAAGGAGCUUAUAAUCUUUAGGUGGUUGAAUUUCAUUUUUCAGUUUAAAUUGUUGAGCAUUCCCCUCUAACAUCUUUCCUGCUGGUUUGACUUUAGAAUAAAUUAUACCAGACUUACUCUGGUCUGCUAUGGGUGAAUUGAGGACUGUUUGUUAAGUUGGGAACUGUUAGAUAUGAGAUUGUUCAGUAGCCUUUACCUAAUAGAACAGCCUUGAGAUGAUUUGUCAUUGACGUGCUAUCAUAUUGAUUAUGACGAAGUGAAAAGUUGAAUCCUGUCUGGCAGUUCACUUGGCUUAAGUUCAAUUAAGCACAAGGUUGGAGGGGCAUUUGUCCAUUAUCAACACUUCAAACUCCCAAAGGGCUUGCAUAAGGAGGUGUUACUUAUAAACCAUUUUUGAGUUUUCACAUAAUAGCUUCAAUUUUUUGGAUUAGUUGGUCUCAAGUCAUCAACAAAAAAAUAUAAGAUGGAAAGCAAACAGAGAUUUGGAAAAGAAUAAUGUUUUUAGGUUGGCCACCCAAAUGUUUUGCAAAAGAAUAAGGUUUUUGGCUUCUCUUUUGUACUAGAUACAUGGUCUUUUAAGUGGGUUGUAUGCUGUUACUCUUGAGUUCUGUUUUGUUUCUCUUUGUAAUUUUUUCUUUAAUUAGUUGUCUUGUCAGGGAUAUCUUAUCCUCCUAUAUUUCUAUAUCACUUUUUUCUUUAUGAAUUUCUUUUUUACGUCAAAACAAAAUUACCUUCACAACAAUUCUUGUUGCUGCUUGCUAAAUUGUGCAAACACUUUCUUAGACUUUGUGAUGAUAAUUAUGUUUGGAGAUUUUAAUAAACAGAUUUGUUCAUAAUAUUUUCCAAUUCAUCAAACUAAAACGUCGGGGGUUACUGAGUUAGUGUUAUAAAUUUCAUAGUUUUAUGUCUCUCUAUGGAUUGUUGUUGCUUUGCUACCUUGAUCAUACCCUCUUCUUAACUUCAUCUUUUUUAUUUUAUUACUUGAUUAUUUCCGUUUCAGGGAAUUUCAAGCACUACAUUUCUGGCAAAUUCACCUGAGGAAACACCUGUUUUGUCACCUUUAGUCCCAGUUUCAUCUUUGGGUAGUUCAAAAGGUGAAUACCAGAAGCAGAAAGCUGUGACUAAGCCAGAAAAAGUUCAAGCAAUAUUAAAGAGAAUAAAGCAGGUUUGAGAUGCAUAUCACUGUUCAUGAUUGUUUGCUUUUGGUUUUCUUAUAUGCAGCAGUUGGUUUUCCUUCAUUAAGAACAUGUUAGGUAGACCUGAUCAAGUAUAUGUUGAAUGAAUUUUGAAUGAAAUGAUUCCAAUUUUAAGUGCUGAAAAGUACAAUAUGAAAACUUAUAAUAUACCAGACAUGGCAACAUCGAAGGAAAAGUCUUUUAAUUACUUAAAUAGUGAAACAGUACUUUAUUCAUUCAGUAUAAUGCAUGUGAUGAAUGUAUUUAGAAAUUGCACUAUUAAAUUUGUAGCAUUCUCUAGCCAAAAAAUAUUUUAAAAGAAGAAACAAAUUUUAUUUUAUAAAUUAAACUAAUUCAACUGCAUGCUAUUAUGGCAACUGUUUUUCUCCUUUAAAACAAUUUUGAGAGUGGAGACAGUAAAAGAAUUUGCUGUACUCUGUUGGACUGGACAAGUUUCAUCUUUCCAAGUGCAACUGCCACUGCCAAACGCAAGAAUUGCACCUUCUUAUGUGACAAAAUACUAGUGGCACAUCUUUGCUUUCAUUUCUUAACUGCUAUAUAUAUGGCAUAAUAAUAAUGAUGAAGAGGUGAAUACUUUUAAACAAUGCUUGUACUUCUACAACCAAGCUAAUAAAGUACACUUAUAACUGUUGAUUGAACAAUCAACAGUUGAUUGUCUAACUCCUAAACUUUGGGUAUAAGUCUAACCUAAUCUUGUAAAAAUGGUUUGUAAAUCAAGGUUUGGAUUCACCCCACUUGUGUACUCUACUUUAGUCAUAUCACUAAACAAUUUGAGACUAAGCCAUCAUCAUUUAGGUAGCAAAACCAAUCUAAUAAAGUGUAGUUUAACUGUUACAGUUGAGUGUUGUGACAAAAUCAAUUACAUGUCUAAUUUUUAAUCUUUGAGUAUUUCAGCCUCAUAAAUAAAGACUUAUAAUUUAUAAAUCAAGGUUUGCACCUCAGUGUAUACUCUACUUUAGUCAUAUCUCCUUUGAGGUUACAAUUUAGGCAAUCCCCAAUGAGCUUGUAACUUAGGCAAGGUAGGGGUGAUUCCAACAGUAACAAAUUCUGAAGUUAAUUACAAUCUUAACUUUCAAUAUUUUAAUCAGCAAUUGUUAUUGCUGAAUUGCAUUCCUCUCACUUUAGAGCUGCUAAAUCUGUCGACAUUUGCCCCCAUGGGUGUCUAAAUGAUCCUAAUCUGUUAGAUAAAUAAAAAUAAUAAGGUUCUCUAUAUAACAUUCAAAUAAUUAUAUUCUAUUUUCCCCCCAGUUUCAUAGUUCCCAUCCUAGUUCUACUUACCAAUCUUUCUUUAACUGUAUCUACUUAUUGGUUUAUCUCUCCAUUUCUAACCUUCAAUGUUCCCACACAUUUUUGCGUUUGGUUUUCUAGUAAGCACUAAUGCAGGCUAAAAGAAAACCAUUGAUUUGACAAUAUAAACAAGUAUCAGUGUAUCAUCACUGUUCCGUCCGGUUGACCGGGACGUCUUCAUGCGCGACCUCAACCGUCAGCUAGGGACUCCUUCCCACUGGUUGCCUGUGGAUUCCUGCAAAAAAGAGGACAAAGAGGCGCCCUAGCAGCCGUGUGCACUCCGACGCUCAAGUCAGCCAGCAAGAAACACCAAAAACUGUCCACCUGCGUGUCUGAGCACCGCGUAUGGCACUCUGAAGGUGGUAAAAGAACUGUGUAUAUGUGUGUGUUGUCUCUUUCAGGCAAAAAUAUUCCCCAGUCACUUGUACGUAACCUUGAAGCACGAGCAAGCAACUAGAGAGUUCUCUGAUAAAUUUGCCGAAAGUUCCAACCCUUUUUCCAACAUUCUCCGCGCUAUUUAAAAUACCCAAGCAUUUAAAGCGCCUUAAAGCGCUUUUAAUCACAAACAUAACGCACUCAUCAAAGCGCUUAAUUAGAAAACGUAGCGCAUUUAAGACGUUGAAACGCUCGGGAGCCAUUAUAGUACCUGAAUGCUCGAAAGGGAAACUGUAUUGAAUGACUUUUAAUUACCUGGCACCUGACUAAAGGGUGUUUCUAUUCUGGCAUGGCUGUCGUACACGUGGAGGGCCUCACGACGCCAUGACCCCAUCUGGGGGCGCUUCGGCCCACCUGGGGACGUUUCUACGUGUGAGUCCUCCUGCUGGGAGUGCUACUGCGCUAGGGGUGACUUUUUGGGUGCCAACUCAUGCCCCCAAGUAUCUAGUCACUUACUUUGAGAGCGUAUCUGCCUUCCUUUUGUACUCUGCACCCGGUUGCCCUGGGCGUGACUUUCCUCUUGAGUCGUAUCGGCCCCACGGGCGUCUCUGGGGCGGCAGGAGCACUUCACGAGUCAGGCUGCCCUUCACUGGUACUAUUACUAUGGCCUUGAAGCCACCUUUUCCUUCUCUUUAUCACUUUCCCGAGAUAUCGGGACCUGAGGCUUUCCCACGACGUCGCUCCGUCCAUGGUCUUUCCUACCCAUGGGUAUUGGGGAACCACACCGCGAUUGCCUUGUUUUUACACUGUUUGAUCUGGCGACGCCCUGGUUGGGCGACGCCUCCACCCAGGCGACGCCUUGCCUUGGUGACGCUUCCUCUUGGCGAUGCUGGCACUUGGCGUCUCUCCACAUAGGCGACGCCUUGCGUUGACUUUGACUCUCCAGCCGUUGACUUUGACUUUGACUUAGUCAACGCCCGGAUACGGGACGGUACAAUCACAAUUAUAUUCAGCAUAGCUAUAAUAGGAGUUUUAAAAAGUUGUAAUGCUUUAUUUCAUAAUGCUAUAUUCAGUAUCUGUUAUCAAUUUUUGCAGACAAGUUUGAACAUAUUUUUUAAGCUAUUGGAAUACCUUCCUUGGUUUGAUGUGUAAACUAAUUGAUUGUUUAAGGGUCUGGUUCAUAUCUGACUGAUUACACUUUUUACAUGCCCUGUCUUCUAUGGUAUUUUAGAGUCCAAAGAAGGUAAACUUAGUUGCUGCUCUGGUUCGUGGCAUGCUUGUUAAAGAUGCAUUGAUGCAGUUGGAAUUGACAAUAAAACGAGCAGCAAAAACUGUUUAUCAGGUAGUAACACUAGUUGUCUUUUACUGUCACCUCACUGACAAGAUUGCAAACACUAUAAUUUUAAUUGCUUUCAAAAAAGUUCCUCUUUGAACGCAUCAGAUUUUAAUAAUCUUUUUUCUCAAUAUCUUUGCCCCAUCCCCUGGCCAUUUUUAACUUUCCCAAUUAUAACACCAAUAUAAAAUUCUAAAGUAUCCCCGCUCUUACUUGCAUUUUGUCUGCAUUUAACACAACAAUUUAUGAUUAUUUAGAUUCGAGUUAUAUUCAUUUUCGGUGGAGAGAAAGGUUAUAUUCUAUUACCUUCUAUAUGGUAAAGCAAAAUUGGUAGCAUUUGUUUUAAAAUCCUACCCAUUGUAGGUCAUUCAUUCAGCCCGAGCAAAUGCCUCUCACAAUCACGGGUUAGAUCCAGAACGUCUCCUAGUAGGUAAUAUUUCGAAGUUCAUAAUUAUUUGAAGUGAAGUUUAGUUACAUGAAUUACAAUAGAACAUUGUUUAAUCUAUAUAGCUGACCUCAUCUAGUGUGAAAGGCUUAAUUGUUGUUCUAUCUGUGAUGAUCCUGGUUUGUUGUUUCUUACAGCGGAAGCAUUUGUAGGAAAGGGAUAUUUCAAAAAGAGACUUGCCUUCCAUGCCAAAGGAAGAUCAGGACUCAUAAUGAGACCAGAGUGCAGGCUAACAAUUGUAGUGAGAGAGAGAACUGCGGAAGAAGAGGAUGAUAUAGCUAGGCUGAGAGUUCACAACUUCAAGAAACUAAAGAAACUAACUAAGCGGGAGAGACGACUUGUGCCUCAUCAACUUAUUGAGACCACUCCUGUUUGGGGCCGCAAAAGCAAAUCUAGUGGUCAAAACUUGAGUGCUGCACCUGCAUGAGCCUCACUUUGUUUCCAAGUUUUCAUGCUUCAUGGCAUUUUGUGUAAUAGAUUAUUCUUCUUGGUCAUCACAUAAUAUGGAACAGUUGAAAAUUUUGUUUGCCCUUGUUGCAAAUGAUAGAAGUUUGU